UUGAUUGUUUUGUUUUGUUUUCUUUCCAAUGCUUGUAAUUAGCAGCUUUGGUGAUCAGAAAGGACCAGCUGGAGAAAACCAGAGAUUCUAAGAGGCAGAGAUGAGGAGAGAGUUCAUUCCAGACAUGGGCCACUGAGGACUAAAGCAUGAUAUCUGAGGAUGGAAGGUUGUGUGUGAAAGAGGGCAAGAAGAAAUAAUCCUUCCUAUGGAGCCAGGUUGUUGUUGAGUGACUCAGCAAGUCUUGGUGCAUUUUUCAAUGACACAGGUGAGUUGCUAUAAAAACAUGACAUAUUGAAGCUGUUGAAUUGUGUAAUG
rnacentral:lncRNA from 1 species